rnacentral:lncRNA from 1 species
UGGGAGAAAGCAGGUACCAUUGUGUGGCAAUAUAAUCUUGGCAGACUGAUGUGUAUGCGCCCGUGUCCUCUAUAGCUGAGUAAGAUUGAUGUAUUUGUUUCUGCAGGAGGGGCAGAGUGGUGGGACCGAUGGAUUGUGUGGCGACGUGCUUGAAAACAAGAGAGAGGUUUAGUUUUGUGAUAAAAAGUCUUGGUCUCCACAACUCAUUCGUGAUUGUUGGUGCUUCAGCCGUACUAACGGGCUUGAUAUUGUUGUUCAAGAUUUUUUUGAGAACCUUGGGACAGUCGCUGGGCUGGGUGAGGCUAAUAAGUUGGUGAUAGAGACAGAGGAGAAGGUAUUUUUACUCUUAUUCCGUAAAUUUUAAGUUGUUGUAAGAUAGUUUUUUUAGGUACACAUGUACUAUAUACUUUGUGAGUACACAUGUACUAUAUACUUUGUGUGUACAUAUGAACUAUGCACUUUUGUGUGUACACAUUUACUAUAUAGUGAGUAUUCUUUUAUUUUUUGCGCAGGCGGAGAAGCC